GGCUGAGCUGUUCCGCCCCCGCAGCCCGAGCCCGCCGCCUCGCUGAGGGCAAGCGGCGGGGCGCGUGGAGAUCCCUACAGCGCGCCGGGCCUCCGGCGGCAUCUCCCUCAGCCGCGUGGCGCCCCGUAGGAAGCGGCCGCCCCUGCAGUCCCCCGAGCCUGAGCUGCCUCCCGGAGCCCGCUCCCGAGUGAAGGGGACGGGCUCCGCCGCUGGGGAUGCAGGGAAAGGUUGGACCGCCGGGCGGGGUCCGGGAGACGGUCGCUGGAGAGCGGCAAGUGUUUUAAGGAAGAAAAAAAAUAAACCCGUGCAAGGGCAUAGCUGAAGCAUGCUGGCCCUCUCGUACAAAUCCGGUGUGGCCAUCAUCAGUUUGAGGACUUCAAUAUAUGCUUGCAGUAUAUGGAUAAGGAAAAGAUGACUAACCAGAGGCCUGCAAAGGAGAUGUGACUGUCAAACACUGCAUGGAAGAUCUGUUAAAGAAGUGGGGAUGUGUUAACCUGAGUGGCAAAUAAUACAGUAGGAAGAAAAAUGACUAAAACUUGAAGUCAGACUCUGGCAUACUUGAAUACCAUAUGCCUGCGUUAUUGAAAGACUGGAGCAGAGUAUCUGGAGAAAGAUGAGAGAGUGUGGGUGGCAAUAGAAAAAACAACCACGACUGUAAGUUAGCAAGAUAAUAUCCUUACUUUCUUCUGUGGGUCUCAAGAGUGAUUAAAAAAACAUUGGUGUUUUAAAAAUAUUGCUGAAGACUACAGUGUGACUCAUAAUGCUUCAGAGAAUGGAAUUCUUGGAAGUUUCACUGUAAUGCCAGAUUUUAGAACGGAGGGCAGCAGAGCUGCAGAGAAGUAACACGAGGCUAUGUUGACAGAGAAAGAACAUCUCUGAGGAAAUGCAGGCGAGCGAGAAAGAAAGGAAAGAGAAUGAGCCUGGGGAGAGAUGACAAGACAAUUAUUUAUACUGAGAACCGUUGCUUGCACUGAUGGGAAUGUUUCAUUGCUUUUUGAGAUUUUAUUGGCCAGCAUGCCUGCCUACAAAAUGCUUGGUCAUAUGCACAGCAGGGGAAGAUCUGUAAACAGGUCAACCAAUCAGACAGUGAAGGCAGUUAUAUGUGACUCCAAAAGUUGCAUCCUAGACCUGGCCUGAAACUUUCAAGUCAAACUUUUUUUGGGGUGGAGGAGUAAAUUUCUGGUAAAUUGAGCAAUUUUAUAAGGGAAUAUAUUGGCUAAGAAGGUUUCUCAAGUCAGAAAAGUCUUUCUGGUCAAAAACUAAAAGGAGAAUUAACUACCUGGAAUUAAAUAGUAGCCUCACAUGGCAUGGACCCAAUAUUUUGCUUGAUACUGUAACCUACCUGUUUUAUGUACUAAAUAAGUACCUUUGCUAGAAGAGUGAGCAGUCUUUCUCUCACCAUCCCCCACAAGUGCUGAUCCAUACCUGUUCCCCUAAAGUUCCAAGGAAGUGGUUUGUGUAUUUCACAGGCUGUGACAUUGGCAGGGAUAUGGAAAUUUCAGGUUCAGAUCCAUGAGCAUGGGUUGGGCUUGUACCAGAACCUUCUCCUUUAGGUGAGUGUCCUAACUAUCUGGCAGCCGAGGUGUGACUGAAUUUUCAUGAUUAGUUACAGGGGAAAAAUAUAUUGUUUAUACUGGAAGCCUAAAUACAGAAAUAUAGGCUUUUUUUAAUUAUUACUUUUUAAGAGCAUUCUUAUUAUCUAGUGCCUCCUAUAAACUAUUUCUAUAGUUUGUGCAUAUGAUUAAAUAAAACAUUGGUUCAAAGCACUGAAAAUACGUUGAUGGCUUAAAGGUGGAUAAUACUGCUGUCUAGAUUUGUAUAUCUUUUAAACAUUUAAUGAGUAUUCAUCUGAAAAUUCACAUCUAUGUCAUGACUUUAUAUUUGGCAAUUCCUCUCUGAAAAAAAAAGUAAAUCAUAUAUCCAGCAGGGGACCAAAUAUGACACCAUUCAUACAGGUGAUGGUCAUAUAUCACAGUUACAUAAAUACCCUAAGUGAACAAUUAGUUGAUAUGUUCUUGGCUGAAAUUUGUUCAUGUAAUUUGAUCGAUGAAGUGUGUGGAUAAAGAAUAGAUUAACAGGUCAUAACCAGUUCAUGAACGAUUCGUGAACAGGAAGAAGGACUACAGAGCAGGGAAUUUGAAUGAUGUAUAUUUCAUUUCACUUGUAUAACAGGAAAACAUAGAUUUUUGAGUUGGCCAAAAGGGAAAAUGAAACUUUUCAUUUUUUGUUUUAUGUAUUUUUUCUGGAAAAUCAAAUCUAGUUAUAUUUAGAAAUGAAACAAAUUAAA